UACGGGGGGGGCAAGCGUUGUUCGGAAUUACGGGGCGUAAAGGGCUCGUAGGCGGCCAACUAAGUCGGAUGUGAAAUCCCCAGGCUUAACCUGGGAACUGCAUCCGAUACUGGAUGGCUUGAAUCCGGGAGAGGGAUGCGGAAUUCCAGGUGUAGCGGUGAAAUGCGUAGAUAUCUGGAGGAACACCGGUGGCGAAGGCGGCAUCCUGGACCGGCAUUGACGCUGAGGAGCGAAAGCCAGGGGAGCAAACGGG
rnacentral:rRNA from 1 species